rnacentral:rRNA from 1 species
AUUGAACGCUGGCGGCAGGCUUAACACAUGCAAGUCGAGCGGGGUGAUGCAGCUUGCUACAUUACCUAGCGGCGGACGGGUGAGUAAUGCUUAGGAAUCUGCCUAUUAGUGGGGGACAACAUUCCGAAAGGAAUGCUAAUACCGCAUACGUCCUACGGGAGAAAGCAGGGGAUCUUCGGACCUUGCGCUAAUAGAUGAGCCUAAGUCAGAUUAGCUAGUUGGUGGGGUAAAGGCCUACCAAGGCGACGAUCUGUAGCGGGUCUGAGAGGAUGAUCCGCCACACUGGGACUGAGACACGGCCCAGACUCCUACGGGAGGCAGCAGUGGGGAAUAUUGGACAAUGGGCGAAAGCCUGAUCCAGCCAUGCCGCGUGUGUGAAGAAGGCCUUUUGGUUGUAAAGCACUUUAAGCGAGGAGGAGGCUACUUGGAUUAAUACUCUAGGAUAGUGGACGUUACUCGCAGAAUAAGCACCGGCUAACUCUGUGCCAGCCGCCGCCGUAAUAC